CCUACGGGGGGCAGCAGUGAGGAAUAUUGGUCAAUGGGCGCGAGCCUGAACCAGCCAAGUAGCGUGAAGGAUGACUGCCCUACGGGUUGUAAACUUCUUUUAUAAAGGAGUAAAGUGAGGCACGCGUGCCUUUUUGUAUGUACUUUAUGAAUAAGCAUCGGCUAACUCCGUGCCAGCAGCCGCGGUAAUACGGAGGAUCCGAGCGUUAUCCGGAUUUAGUGGGUUUAAAGGGAGCGUAGUUGGGUAGUUAAGUCAGUGGUGAAAGUUUGCGGCUUAACCGUAAAAUUGCAAUUGAUACUGGCAGCCUAGAGGAUAGGUGAGGUAGGCGGAAUGCGUGGUGUAGCGGUGAAAUGCUUAGAUAUCACGAAGAACUCCGAUUGCGAAGGCAGCCUACUAGACUGCCACUGACAUUGAUGCUCGAAAGUGUGGGUAUCAAACAGGAUUAGAUACCCCUGUAGUC
rnacentral:rRNA from 1 species